UGACGUCAAGUCCUCAUGGCCUUUAUGCCUAGGGCUACACACGUACUACAAUGGACGGAACAAAGGGUCGCGAUACUGAGAGGUGGAGCUAAUCCCAAAAACCCGUCCCAAGUUCGGAUUGGAGUCUGCAACUCGACUCCAUGAAGUUGGAAUCGCUAGUAAUCGCGGAUCAGCAUGCCCGCGGUCCGAAUACGUUCCGGGCCUU
rnacentral:rRNA from 1 species